rnacentral:rRNA from 1 species
CCUACGGGAGGCAGCAGUGAGGAAUAUUGGUCAAUGGCCGGAAGGCUGAACCAGCCAUGCCGCGUGAAGGGCAGGGACCUAGGGGCGUUAAACUUCUUUUGUGCGGGAGCAAGAAUGGUCACGUGUGGCCAGACGAGAGUACCGUACGAAUAAGCAGCGGCUAACUCCGUGCCAGCAGCUGCGGUAAUACGGGGGUUGCAAGCGUUAUCCGGAUUUAUUGGGUUUCAAGGGUGCGGAGGCUGUGAGGUAAGUCAGCGGUGAAAUGCCCCCGCUCAACGGGGGGAAGUGCCAUUGAUACUGCCUUGCUGGACUGCGGAUGCCGUGGGAGGAAUGUGUGGUGUAGCGGU